AUUGAACGCUGGCGGCAUGCCUUACACAUGCAAGUCGAACGGCAGCACGGGGGGUAACCCCUGGUGGCGAGUGGCGAACGGGUGAGUAAUAUAUCGGAACGUGUCCUGUAGCGGGGGAUAACCUAUCGAAAGAUGGACUAAUACCGCAUACGACCUACGGGUGAAAGCGGAGGACCGCAAGGCUUCGCACCAUAGGAGCGGCCGAUAUCGGAUUAGCUAGUUGGCGGGGUAACGGCCCACCAAGGCGACGAUCCGUAGCUGGUCUGAGAGGACGAUCAGCCACACUGGAACUGAGACACGGUCCAGACUCCUACGGGAGGCAGCAGUGGGGAAUUUUGGACAAUGGGCGCAAGCCUGAUCCAGCCAUGCCGCGUGAGUGAAGAAGGCCUUCGGGUUGUAAAGCUCUUUCGGCGGGGACGAAACGGUUCGUGCUAAUACCACGGACUACUGACGGUACCCGCAGAAGAAGCACCGGCUAACUACGUG
rnacentral:rRNA from 1 species